rnacentral:rRNA from 1 species
AUGAACGCUGGCGGGAGGCCUAACACAUGCAAGCCGAGCGGUAUUUGUUCUUCGGAACAGAGAGAGCGGCGCACGGGUGCGGAACACGUGUGCAACCUGCCUUUAUCUGGGGGAUAGCCUUUCGAAAGGAAGAUUAAUACCCCAUAAUAUAUUGAGUGGCAUCAUUUGAUAUUGAAAACUCCGGUGGAUAGAGAUGGGCACGCGCAAGAUUAGAUAGUUGGUGAGGUAACGGCUCACCAAGUCAAUGAUCUUUAGGGGGCCUGAGAGGGUGAUCCCCCACACUGGUACUGAGACACGGACCAGACUCCUACGGGAGGCAGCAGUGAGGAAUAUUGGACAAUGGGUUAGCGCCCGAUCCAGCCAUCCCGCGUGAAGGACGACGGCCCUAUGGGUUGUAAACUUCUUUUGUAUAGGGAUAAACCUACUCUCGUGAGAGUAGCUGAAGGUACUAUACGAAUAAGCACCGGCUAACUCCGUG